rnacentral:rRNA from 1 species
GAGCGAGAAAUCCAUAAUCGAAUCUUCGGACAAGAGAGUGGAUGGAAAGCGGCGGACGGGUGAGUAACGCGUAGGUAACCUGCCCUGUACAGAGGGAUAGCCACCGGAAACGGUGAUUAAUACCUCAUAAUACCGAAAGUUCACAUGGACAGUCGGUCAAAGAUUUAUCGGUACAGGAUGGACCUGCGUCUGAUUAGUUAGUUGGUGAGGUAACGGCUCACCAAGGCGACGAUCAGUAGCCGACCUGAGAGGGUGAUCGGCCACAUUGGAACUGAGACACGGUCCAAACUCCUACGGGAGGCAGCAGUGGGGAAUAUUGCACAAUGGGGGAAACCCUGAUGCAGCAACGCCGCGUGAAUGAAGAAGGCCUUUGGGUUGUAAAAUUCUGUUCUGAGGGAAGAAGAAAGUGACGGUACCUCAGGAGAAAGCCCCGGCUAACUACGUGCCAGCAGCCGCGGUAAUACGUAGGGGGCAAGCGUUGUCCGGAAUCAUUGGGCGUAAAGAGUACGUAGGCGGUUUGGCAAGCGUAAGGUUUAAGGCAACAGCUCAACUGUUGUUCGCCUUGUGAACUGUCAAACUUGAGUGCGGGAGAGGAAAGCGGAAUUCCUGGUGUAGCGGUGAAAUGCG